UACGGGGGGGGCAAGCGUUGUUCGGAAUUACUGGGCGUAAAGGGCUCGUAGGCGGCCAACUAAGUCCGACGUGAAAUCCCCAGGCUUAACCUGGGAACUGCGUCGGAUACUGGAUGGCUUGAAUUCGGGAGAGGGAUGCAGAAUUCCCGGUGUAGCGGUGAAAUGCGUAGAGAUCGGGAGGAACACCAGCGGCGAAGGCGGCAAACUGGAUAGGCACUGACACUCAACAACGAAAGCGUGGGGAGCAAACAGG
rnacentral:rRNA from 1 species